GACUUCAAGAACUUGCUCAUGCUCAUGAUACCGUAUGAGAUGUCUCAUGCUAUAAACCUGAGAUGUUACAACUUGAAGAUUUUCAGUAGUGCAUUAAAGACAAACUAGAUGAACAUGAUGCUACUGUAGCCACUUGCUAUCCAAAACAGUUUUGCAGUAAGGAUUCAUACAGGUACUCUUUUAUGAAUAGAGACAUUUAUUUGGAUUCAUUCGAUUCUACCAUACUACCAGUGAUUCAUGCUAUCCGAAGGCACUCCCAAAGCGACCACUCAGCAGGACUGAAUGAAUUAGAGGCUAUCACACUGUGUGCAGUCACUGACAUGAUCGCAAUGCCGUACUCCUUGGGACAGACUGACGCUCUUCGCAGGAUACUAAGAGGAGGCAACGUUUUCCUGUGAGAAAUCCACAUGGGAAGAAUUGGUAAUCUCAGAUGGUCUGAAGCAAGUGUCUACACAUACCUCAUAAAGGAUAAUUUCAU
rnacentral:lncRNA from 1 species